UACGGAGGGUGCAAGCGUUGCUCGGAAUUAUUGGGCGUAAAGGGUAGGUAGGUGGUCUCAUUUGUCUGGGGUGAAAGCCUUGAGCUUAACUCAAGAAGUGCCCCAGAAACGGUGAGACUAGAGUCCUGGAGAGGGUCGUGGAAUUCCCGGUGUAGCGGUGAAAUGCGUAGAGAUCGGGAGGAACACCUGAGGCGAAAGCGGCGACCUGGACAGGUACUGACACUCAACUACGAAAGCGUGGGGAGCAAACAGG
rnacentral:rRNA from 1 species